rnacentral:rRNA from 1 species
AGACGGAGGGGGCUAGCGUUGUUCGGAAUUACUGGGCGUAAAGCGCGCGUAGGCGGUUCGCUAAGUUGGGCGUGAAAGCCCGGGGCUCAACCCCGGAACUGCGUUCAAAACUGGCGGACUUGAGGCCGGGAGAGGAGAGCGGAAUUCCCAGUGUAGAGGUGAAAUUCGUAGAUAUUGGGAAGAACACCAGUGGCGAAGGCGGCUCUCUGGCCCGGUUCUGACGCUGAGGUGCGAAAGCGUGGGGAGCAAACAGGAUUAGAUACCCCGGUAGUCC